UAGAACAUAGUUAAUGCUUAAUGUUGAUUCAUUAUCAUGAUGCCCUGCACACCGAGAACCACAAACAGGCCAGAGGAUGUAAAAUGGCUCUGCUGACAGUAUUAACAAACAGCCCUUGCAAGAAUGGGUUAGUGCCAAGUAGCUGACGGAUCAUACAAAUUUAAUUCUUUACUUGAUUCCAGGGUAAUUUCCCCAUCAGCAGCAGAAGGUGGAGAAGAAAAACCUCUCACUCAACAGUUCAUGCUCCUCUUGUCUUGGUAUUGAUAUUAAUGCCAACAAAAUUAGUAAUUUGACAAUUAGUUCCCCACUUACCUGAGAAGACAUGAAAGGGAGAAAGAAAGUAUUUUAACUAGAUUAUAAUGUGGCUGUGACAAGUCGGGAUCCUGUCAUGUUAUAGCCUCCCAACGUUAACAUUUUCAUGUCUGCUUGGCAGGUUAUUAAAAUAAAUGAGGGUGCAUUGGGCUGCUGCUGUGCUCGCCUCUAAUGGGAGUUGAGGAAUUUGCAAGCCACCAAUGUAAAUUGACCGAUCUCAGAGACUGAAAGGAUUUGGCUAAAGUGGACAAUUAGGAUCAUUUCUGCACAGCUGAGUGAAAUAUUCCUUGUUAUUUUAAUAAUUCAGGCCCAGGGUAAUUUUCGGAGGCUGAGUUUGUCAAGAUAAUGUGCCCGUGCUUGUCUGCUUGUCAUUUUUAACUCAAUCCCACAUGUUACAGGUGCAGCCUAGCUUACAAAACAGGAAAAUCAUUCACUGGAGAAUUUGCAUAUGGAAUACAGAUACUCCGCACUUAGGGAAAACAGAGCGGAAGAUUGACAGGGAGCCGUGGUGUGAAUGCCUCACCAUGGUGGAAGGCUGAAGGGCUGAUAGGGGCUGCACUGCUUUGUUGAUACAAUUAUGAGCGUUAUUGGACACUAUGCAUAUGCAAGUGAGGACCACGUACAGCGCCAUUUACCUCAUGUAACCUACCCUGUUUGGGUUGAGACGCGUGUGAAGGCUGUGCACUCCCUCGCAGAAGAUGCAAAUACUUGCUUUUGGCUCGAUUUUAGCACACGGGCUGAUCGAAUAAUAUCUUUAACUUUUGAUGGCAAGACGCAUUUAGAGAAUUAUACAUGAGUCCAAGAUAGAGGAAUUCUGACGCUGGAGAGUUCAUCAGUGCAUUUCUGCAAGCAGGAGCCUGUUUGGCUAGAUGAUAUGGUCCCAACAGAUUAAAACAUCACUCGUGAUUACAAUGAUCGGUAUAAGAACUGGAAGUGACCUCUUCUGUGUGCAGCAGGCCCAGCGCUGGAUGGAAACAGUCACGUUAAUUUGAAAUCAAGAAGUCAUUAAAAUAAAAUUCUGAUUGAAAGUC
rnacentral:lncRNA from 1 species